GACGAACGCUGGCGGCGUGCCUAAUACAUGCAAGUUGAGCGAUGAAGAUUGGUGCUUGCACCAAUUUGAAGAGCAGCGAACGGGUGAGUAACGCGUGGGGAAUCUGCCUUUGAGCGGGGGACAACAUUUGGAAACGAAUGCUAAUACCGCAUAACAACUUUAAACAUAAGUUUUAAGUUUGAAAGGUGCAAUUGCAUCACUCAAAGAUGAUCCCGCGUUGUAUUAGCUAGUUGGUGAGGUAAAGGCUCACCAAGGCGAUGAUACAUAGCCGACCUGAGAGGGGGAUCGGCCACAUUGGGACUGAGACACGGCCCAAACUCCUACGGGAGGCAGCAGUAGGGAAUCUUCGGCAAUGGACGAAAGUCUGACCGAGCAACGCCGCGUGAGUGAAGAAGGUUUUCGGAUCGUAAAACUCUGUUGGUAGAGAAGAACGUUGGUGAGAGUGGAAAGCUCAUCAAGUGACGGUAACUACCCAGAAAGGGACGGCUAACUACGUG
rnacentral:rRNA from 1 species